CCUACGGUGAGCAGCAGUAGGGAAUCUUCCACAAUGGGCGAAAGUCUGAUGGAGCCACGCCGCGUGGGUGAAGAAGGUCUUAGGAUCGUAAAACCGUGUUGUUAGAGAAGAAAGCGCGUGAGAGUAACUGUUCACGUUUCGACGGUAUAUAACCAGAAAGCCACGGCUAACUACGUGCCAGCAGCCGCGGUAAUACGUAGGUGGCAAGCGUUAUCCGGAUUUAUUGGGCGUAAAGGGAACGCAGGCGGUCAUUUAAGUCUGAUGUGAAAGCCUUCGGCUUAAACGGGGUAGUGCAUUGGAAACUGGGAGACUUGAGUUCAGAAGAGGAGAGUGGAACGCGAUGUGUAGCGGUGAAAUGCUUAGAUAU
rnacentral:rRNA from 1 species